rnacentral:tRNA from 1 species
GGCCUCGUAGCUCAGUUGACCCGAGCGUUGGCUUUACUUAAGCCUUCCCCUUUGCCGACAUGGGUUCAAAUCCAACCGAGGCCA